AAUAGAUACCCUGGUAGUCCAUGCCGUAAACGAUGUCUACUAGCCGUUGGGGCCCUUGAGGCUUUAGUGGCGCAGCUAACGCGAUAAGUAGACCGCCUGGGGAGUACGGUCGCAAGACUAAAACUCAAAUGAAUUGACGGGGGCCCGCACAAGCGGUGGAGCAUGUGGUUUAAUUCGAUGCAACGCGAAGAACCUUACCUGGCCUUGACAUACAGAGAACUUUCCAGAGAUGGAUUGGUGCCUUCGGGAACUCUGAUACAGGUGCUGCAUGGCUGUCGUCAGCUCGUGUCGUGAGAUGUUGGGUUAAGUCCCGCAACGAGCGCAACCCUUUUCCUUAUUUGCCAGCACUUCGGGUGGGAACUUUAAGGAUACUGCCAGUGACAAACUGGAGGAAGGCGGGGACGACGUCAAGUCAUCAUGGCCCUUACGGCCAGGGCUACACACGUGCUACAAUGGUCGGUACAAAGGGUUGCUACUGCGCGAGCAGAUGCUAAUCUCAAAAAAGCCGAUCGUAGUCCGGAUCGC
rnacentral:rRNA from 1 species